GAAAGCCACUAAUGCAGCCUGUGAUUAAGUCCUUCCCCCUUUGAAUAAGGAGGCUUGUGUAGUGCUGACAUUAAAAGGAUUAAACAGCAAGCCUGCUGAGAAAAAUGCUCAGAGGUAUUAAACCCUAGCAGUGUUGGUUUAACUGCAUGUACUGAAGAAUGAGAUUAGGUCCACGUUUGGAAGGAGAACUAGCUUUGACAGAAGACUAAAAGGGUAAUCAGAGCUGCGGACUGAUGGAGUGGAAAGAGUGCUGGGCAGAGGGCCAGAGUCUCAGAGUUCAAGCUUGUUGCUGUAACAUUCGCCAGCUCUGCAUCCUCAGCAAAGAAAUUGCCCGAGUCUUGGAAUCUCUGGAUGACGGACAUGGCCAAUGCUCCUGGCUUCACAUGAAGACGAAAUCAGACCUUAAAUUUUCAUUCGGCAUUCUGUCUGCAGGUUCCUGAUUAUGAAGCUGGAAAUACAUGUGGAGGAUCCUUGACAUGCCCGCUCUGAGCCAUGCCUCCACUCACGGGCCCUGUUUUGACUUCAGGUUUAAAGUCCAGCUGAGUGACUCUCUGUGUUUUCACCAUGGGGCUGCGUCUUUCUUCAAUAUCCAGCUGAGCAGAAAGAAGCAAUGUCCGUCUCUGCAAUCUGUUCUAGUGCAGACACCCGCGACAGGCGACGUCAUCAACUACUUUAGCGUUUCAAGACAAGAAGAGAGAAACAUCUGGGAAGGAAGAGCAUGACAACAUCAGCCUCUGAGGUUUGCAGCCUAGUGUGUCAGCCAUGAUGACUGCAAUCUCUGCUAAAGUUACCAGAAAUAGAUUUCAACUCACAGUGCAGUUUCUCCAUUAGAGCAUUCCGUUUCUAAUGCUCCAUUACCCAGCAAGUGGAAUGCCACCAGAGAAGGAGGUAGAGUCAGCACCAAGCAUCAAAGAAAGAAGAGCAUCUCCCGUGAGUACACACAAAGAAGGAUUGUAUAGUGCUCACUGCAAGCUAACAGGUCAGAUAAGUGAGUUGACUCAUUACUGAAGUGCGAGUUUGUAAACUUCGACUGUGUGGUGGAGCACAGCAGACAGCAGACCAAAGCAAAUUCACAUUCCAGAACUUCCUCAGCCACAGGCUGGAUCUGCUGCCCUGAAAUGGGUGCUUUCGUUUUCUAGGUUCUGCUUUUCUCUUCUGUAAAGUCGUGUGGCUGAUCUCAAAGGUUCUUUCCAGCUCAGGAUCUCUAUGUUUCUAAGCAAGGAACCACGUGCUUUACUGCAAACUCAAGAGCCAGUCAUAAGGGCAAGACACCUUUCACUCUUACUGUCUGCAAAGUCAUACGGAAACAAAAUGAGUAAAAGUGUUCCUUCUAGAAUAAAGCAGAAAGUGCCCUCAUAUGCCUCUGUGGGGAGCAUGACUGUAUUUUGACUCUUUGGCACAUGUAAUUUUUAAAAAAGUUGGGACUCACAUCAUAAAUAAUGUUGAAUGGAGCUUACCAACAUCCAUACAGAAGUACCUAGCAACUUUUCAUGACUGCACUGGGGGAUUCCUUACAUCAAAGACACAUCGUAUUUAUCUCAACAAAGAUACUGGAUGAGAACUUGAAAUGAAUAUGUUAAGCAAUGAGUAGUUUUCAGUCACAAUCCCUGUAAAAACAAAUUUGGGGAAAUUACCAAGCAACAUAUGUGAGGCCAGAGAGAUGCAUUGCUGACUUCUUUUUGUUUACCUGCUAGUAGAGUAUGUUUUAAAUAUUCAUUAAAUUAUUUAAUAUAGGACUUUGAUUAUUAACCUCCAACAAAUAGCUACAUCUUAAAAAUUAAAAUUACAGCUAAGCUCUGGCCUUCAUGUGGGUCUGGAACAACUGGAAUGGAGGCUAUGCAAAAUCUGUUGCCUGUAUGUGGAAUAUGUUGUACUACCUGGGCUACAUUGUGAGUCCUCUGUGGAAGAAGUGCCUAGCCUCAAAGACAUGAAGUGCCAUUGUUGGAGGUCAGGUAUACCCAGGGGGUCCUACCCACUCAGAAGAG
rnacentral:sRNA from 1 species